GUAAGUGUUUUUAGGAUGACUUUUUAUAAUUUGUUUUAUUCACAUAUAUUUUAAAUACAUUUAAAAUUAUAUUAUUUUCAAUAAUUAUAAUUUUAUAAUAAACAUCUGGUAGUAAAUAUAAUACUAGACAUUAAACAGAAGAUUAUGCCUAUUUCACUUUCUUCUCCUUGAAAUGUUUUAUUUCCUUUGGAGGAACACUCAUCCUGCAUGUCACAGGUGGUCAAACCAGAGCAACUUCAUCUCUUCAUCUUGAAUAGGAGCUGGAUAAAAGGAGGAUGGGACCUGCUGCACUGCAUUCCCAGGAGGUUAGGCAUUCUUAGUCAAAAGAGGGGAUAGGAGGUCACAAGAUACAGAUCACAAAAAAUCUGCUGAUAAAACAGGAUGCAAUAAAGAAGCCAACCAAACCCAUCAAAUGCAAGAUGGUGAUGAAAGUGACCUCUGGUUGUCCUCACUGCCCGUUAUAAUGCGUUAGCAUGCUAAAAGACACUCCCACCAGUGCAAAGGCAGGUUACAAAUGCCAUGACAAUGUCCAGAAGUUACCUUAUGUGGUCUAAAGGAAGAGAAACCUUCAGUUUCAGGAAAUCCCCACCCUUUUCCCAGAAAACUCAUGAAUAAUCCACCUCUUGAAUUAUUGGCAGAAUAUGGUCAAUAAAUAAACCAUAAAACUAGCCAAUCAGCAGCCCUAGGGCUGCUCUGUCUAUGGAGUAGCCAUUCUUUUAUUUCCUUACUUUCUCUUUUUUUUUUUUUUUUUUUAAUACAGAGUCUUGCUCUGUUGCCCAGGCUGGAGUGUAGUGGCGUGAUAUCGGCUUGCUGCAACCUCUGCCUCCCAGGUUCUAGUGAUUCUCCUGCUUCAACCUCCUGAGUAGCUGAAAUUACAGAGGACUGUCACUAUGCCUGGCUAAUUUUUGUAUUUUUAGUAGACAUAGGGUUUUACCAUGUUGGCCACGCUGGUCUCGAACUCCUAACCUCAAGUGAUCUAUCCACCUCGGCAUCCUAAAGUACUGAGAAUACAGACAUGAGCCACUGCACCUGGCCAUUAUUCCUUUACUUUCUUAAUAAUCUUGCUUUCACUUUACUCUGUGGACUCACCCUGAAUUCUUCCUUGCAUGUCAUCCAAGAACCCUCUCUUGGGGUCUGGAUUGGGACCCCUUUCUGGUAACAUGAGGGCCUUCCAAAUGCUUGAAGGAAAAAAUUCCAGAGUGAGUAUAAAUGAAUUGUGAAAAGAAGCUAUACUUUAUCUUAGGGCCUACCCUGUUCUAGCAGCUCUAGAAUUAUGCUGCAUAGGACAGCCCUAAAACUCGGCACCCAGAGUCGCCCGACAUUAUCACCGGGCUUUCUCUGUCCUGAGAGUUUGCACAGACUCACCUUUGUUCUCCCAGUGAAAUAAAUUAUGUGCUCCAAAAUAGAGGGAUGUGCCUACCUAGAAGUUUGCAUUAUAUAUAGGCAAAAUAAUGAAUGGGCUCUGGAGUCAGACACUCUGAAUUGGAAUCUCAGUUUCACUGCAUAAUGGCUGAGUAACCUUGGAAAAGCCACUUAGUCAUCUCUGGGAUUCAAAUUCUUUAUCUAUAAAAGGAAAGAGUAAAACCUAUAUCAUACAAUUUCCUUGAGGAUUAAAUUACGUGUUCGUAAAGCCCGUAAGGGAGGUCAUCUCUGAGUUCUGGUUACUCUUACUUUCCCACCUUUUCACUCAGUGAAGCGGCAAGAAGACCAUGGAUAGGAAAAGGUGCUACAAUGGCAGAGUUUUAAACAAUGUAGGGUGGAGGAAGUAUAUGCAGCACGCAAACUUAAGUAGAGAAGAGGGGGUAUAUAAGAGCAAGUGUCUUUAAAAGUGCAAGUUGUGACUGAUGGAUACCCAGGCAGUACAGAAUCUAUUCCUGCAAGAUACCCGCCCCCCACCCACUGAGAGGGAGCUUUCCAGAAGUACAAAGCUCUCAUGAUAGGAGACAGGGGGCCCAGCUUUGCUACCUGACCUACUUAGCCAUAUGAGCUGGUAAAUGUGCCUGGGAUUUCAAGCCAAUUUUCCUCUCUUCAAAAUGGGGAUGUCAUCUACUUUGUCUCAAAAAGUUGUCAUGAGACUCAAAAAUUCUUUACAAAGUGGAAAAUGCUACUUAACCAUUUGUUAGGACUCCGGUUUGCAAGUAAGUGACAGAAACCCAGAUCAGAUAAGCAUAAGCAAAAAGGGAAAUUUCUCACAGAGUCAAGUACAGGAACAAAGCUGGGGUCCAGGAACUCCUGGUAAGGUGGCUAACUCAGCCCCUGGUACGGUGGCUAACUCGCUCAUUCCUGGCAUUAGCACUAAAAGUGCAGGGUCCUGGAAAACCCCUCAGCGCAGGCCAACAGAGAAAGUUGGCCACCAUCCCUGGCUUCUGUGACCCUGUGAGUGUCUGAUUCAUUCCUCUCCCCCUGCUGACCCGCUUCCUCCAUUUUCUCUGUCCAUAUGGUUAGAACCACAGUCAAGGACAGGUUCUAAUAUCUAAUUUUGUUACGGCAUGGGCGAUUUCAUGUUUUAUUGCCCACGACACAACUAUAGUUUAGAAUAAUCCCAUUUUUAAAAGUCUCAUAUUUUGCUGUUAGGAAAUCAUCAAAGUUAUAAGCCUGAUGUCUGUAUUUUUAUAAAAGAAGUGUAAUUUAGGAACCAUUAUAGGGAAUGAGUUCAGCGAACUCCUCAGAUCACUUAUUUUCCAAUGGAACCACUUAAACAUACCCCAUUAUCUCUGAGAAAUCAUGAGAUGCAGGGAGGGGCCUUGUUUUUAAGGUAGUUUGGGUAUUGUCUGCUACCUGGCUUAACAGGAAGUUCUAUGAGAGACUCAGGAACUAUAUGACUCCAUGUGGCUAUUUUGCUUACUGUGUUAACCCCAGCACUCAAAACCAGCUGGCCAGGUGGAUGAACAAACAAGUAAAUGAAAAUGAAAACAUGAGAAAGCUAAAUGUUGAGAUGUGUGCUACAUUCCCUGUAGGUCAGAAACUCAGAGAAGGAAGGGAAGUGUGAGGUGUACUGUACUGGGUGAAGACUCACAGGGGUCGAGAACAGCUAUAGCAUGGGAAGGGGAGGCUCAUUUUUCGUCUUCCUCACUCAGUUUCUGACUCAUUGUACUAUAAGACAGAGCAUAAAGUCCAGUGUAUGUAGAUAAGGGAAUUGGCUUUCACCAGACGGUAGUCCACUAGCAUACCCCUCCCCUGUGUUUUGGAAUUCACACUCCCCAAGGAUAUGGAACAAUGGCAAGGGAGUCAGGGCUGGGCCUGCUAGGGCUGUUCUCUUCUUGACCACCUCCAAGUUUCUUCUAUUUGAAUGUGUUCUUUUGAAAACAAAGAUGUAGAUUUUAUGAAUGUUUUCCCCAGUUUGCGAUUAAACUUAAUGAAAAACAACAGGCCGGGCGCCAUGGCUCACGCCUGUAGUCCCAACACUUUGGGAGGCGGAGGCGGGCGGAUCAUCUGAGGUCAGGAGACCGAGACGAUCCUGGCUAACACGUGAAACCCCGUCUCUACUAAAAUUACAAAAAAAAAUUAGCCGGGCGUGGUAGUGGUAGCGGGCGCCUGUAGUUCCAGCUACUCGGGAGGCUGAGGCAGGAAAAUGGCACGAACCCGGGAGGCGCAGCUUGCAGUGAGCCGAGAUUGCGCCACUGCACUCCAGCCCGGGCCGACAGAGCGAGAUUCCGUCUCAAAAAAAAGAAAAAAAACCAACAACAACCAGGCUGAACCUCAUUUUCAUUUGCUUUCCUAACUCUUUGCCUAUUUCCUUGCGGAUUCUCCUUCUUUAGCCACCCGGCUCUACCUCGUCUCACACACAGAUUUCUACCCGAUCCUUCCACUCUGGCAGUCAGCAAUGGGCUUUAAUUGACACAUCAUUAAAAAAUACUCAGGCACCAUCUGAACUGGAAUAAGAAUAAAUUCCAGGCAAAGGGCUCAAGCCAGCCUUCCAGAUUUCAGUGUCAGAGAGCCGUCUCAGAGGAGGCAAAGUCAUUUUUUCUGUCGUCUUUCUCCAGCAUUGCAGCUAUUCUAAACAAGCCAAAUUGGAAUAAACGCUCCAUGACACUACUCACCACCUUGUGUUUUCAUAGGGGCGGCUGCCUAACAGUUUACACUGAACUAUUUAACACUAGCCUAUUUGCUCUGACAGCUCUUUUAUUACAGAUGACCACCCCAGGCCUUGGGAGGUUCAUUUUGUCCAAUAUUGGUUUCAUUUGGGUAUGAUCAUUGUGUUCGGAGUUGUUUACUGAGCAGACUGCUGCUAACCUCCUCCUAUCGUUGAUUGCCUACCAGAAGAAGCAGUCCAGCUCAGUUUCCUGGUUCCAAGAAAGAGAAUUCAGCAAGAGGAGGGUCAAAUUACCCCAAACUCCAGAUCAUCUCUAUCAACAAUGUCAUAUGUGUCCAGGAAAGAGAAGCUUUAUUGUUUGUCUUGCUCUGUUUUCUGAAGCUAAGAAGACAAUUGCUUCCUCGCAAACAUGGACAGAUUAAAUACACUACAUUCUGUCCUUUUCACCAUCUGCUUCUUGCUUAUUUUAUUUUAAGCUGCAUGACUAAACUUUAUUAUCUGACGGACGGGUGAAGGUGGGCCCUGCUGCUGCUGUGCUCUACUCCUUGAGGCUUGGAAUGAAUGCAAAGUUGCAGGGCUGAUCUGCAAAGGGAGAACAAUAUCCAAGUAAUGUUUUGGAAAACGGAAACUCUAUAUUCCUGACUUCCCUUCCUAGGGAGUGGGACCCAGGGACAGCUGCAAGGAUCUGCAGGCACUUUCUAGGCUCCCCUUGGAUUGUUUACUUUCCUCCAGAAGCCAGAAAAGGAAAAGAAAAUAAAGCAUUGUAAUAUAAACAAAGGCAGUCUGUACUAAGACAAGCACAGGCCAUGGCAGCUGUGCAGAUGAAGGCUGACUGCAAGAUACAGCAUAGCUUAAUUUGGACCAGCCACACAUUUGAAGUGCUCAAUACUCACAUUUAGCUGAUGGCUACCAUAUUGGACAAAACAGAUUUAGAGCAUCUUGAAAUGAAUUAAAUUUGGAACAAAUGCUAUACAGUCUUUUCAUCUGUAACUCAGCUGUGAAAAUAGCAAUAUCUCACAAUUGAGUAUAAAUUUUUAGACAAGAGGUGGAAAAUGACUGACAUUUGUAUUGUUACUGCCACUCAACUUUUUACUGUAACAACAGCAGAUGUUACUCCUAGAUCUCAACACAUUUUCCUACUAAGUCUGCAGGCAGCCAUUGUGAAAGAAUUGAAUCUGCCAUAUAAGCUAACACAAGAAGACUAUGAUUUGGAAGUUGCAAUGGAGAUAUUAGAAGAAACACCUAGAUACUUCACUAGAAGUGCUGCAAAAAUGACAGCAUAAAUUGUGCAAUUUCACAACCCUCCAACUCCCCCCCACCGCAAAAAAAAACUACAAGCAUUUAACGGCCUUAUGAGUAUGUAUGUGACAUGUGUAUUUUAUUAGAGGCAGUUCUCAGUUUCCCUCAUCCAAGCUGUUAAGAUCGUAUAAGACUAAGUCAAAGCUGAUCCUCCUUCUAAACCCGCCUCUCCCCACAGCCCAAAAUGUGCACUCUGUGAACAUAAUUGCCCAAGGAAAACGGAAGCUUGAGCUCUCCGAGCAUCCGUAUUCAUGGGAGCAGCACUUUUGUACUUUGCAAGACCAGAAUGGGCUCCCCACCUGUAUUGGUGACCCAUUUAACCGGACUGAUUUUACUGCUUUGUCAAACUUAUUGGGCAUGAAAAUAAAGUCUGCUCUAUAGAAGUAAACAAAGAGCCUGGAAACAGUUUGAAGCCUGCCUGCUAAUGAAGGCCCUUGGUCACUUCCUCCUUGAAAAUCAAGGCUUCCUGCAAAAAGAAUAAACUGCCCUCCAUGACAGAGAAUCAAGUAACCAGGUAUUUACAUUUAGACAAGAUUCAGUCUCGUCUGGCAGCCUAGAAAAACGCACAGCUGUCAAGAAUCAAAUAAAGGCUUUCAAAAAAUUUUUCUCAAGAACCAAGCAUACCAUUUGAAGAGCAAAGUAGUGAGCAAUUUCCACUAACGUCACAGGAAUUUUGAAAACUAAUUCUGUUUGAAAGACACAACCUGCCCAUACCCAUCAAAAAGUCUAUGGUUCUAGCCUUUAUAAAAUUAUUAUAAAUUUUAACAUACUAGAUUUGUCACUCCCGUAUAUAUAUAUAUAUAUAUUUUGCUUUAAUGAAACAAAAGAUCUAGUGUACUGACUUUUCACUAUAAAAGAAAUGUUUAACAUUUGGUAAAAAAGUUUUUUUUUCCUUCCUACAUAUAUCUAGGUAUAUAUUAAGAAGUUUGAUGAGGAUCUCAGAAUUAGUUGCUAUCUAAUUUCAAAAUCUUGCUAUAAAAGAUCUUUAUCUCUUUCAUACAUGGGAGUUCAUUCAUUUUUAUCCAUUUUAAUAUACUAGAGGUUUCACUUGUGGUGUGCCCUAUGAUUGAGGAGUUUUGAGAAAUAUCUGGAAGAUCAUGGGGACAGGGUGUAUGGAAUCAUGAGGUUGCCUGGAUGACACUGGGAGCUGGAAAUGGGUGGGUAGCAAUUCUGAGUGCAGCAAGACUGCCUCAGCCUUCUUGGCUGACUAGGUCCUGAGGAAAGGCAUAUGCCAAAAAGCAGAGUAAAAUUAAUAAAUAAGUGGAUAGAUAAAUGCACCCAUCCAUCCGUAGAUGCAGUGUUCAAUCAUUCAGUUAGUAUUUAUUGAGUUCCUGGCACUGAUAAUACAAGUGUUAGAUACAUCGAAGGACCCAGAAAUCCCUGCCCACCUGGAACUUGUAAUCCGGUGGGAGUGGGGAGUGGUAGGGAUAGAAUAUAUAUAAGCUAAAUAUGCACGUGUGUGUGGGUGUGCACACGCGCGCUAAAGAAAAACAAAAAAGUCAGGGGAGGGAAUGUGAGACUAAGGCGGUGUGUUGACAUUGUAGAUAGGCUGGCCAAGCAGGUCUCCCUGACAAAAUGGCACUUGAGUUCAAUGCUGGAAGAAAUGAGGAAGAUCUAAGGGAAGAGCUUUCCAUGCAGAAGGAUUCCCAAAUGCAAAGGCCUGAGUCAGAUCACGUCUGGUGUACUGAAGCUGCAGCAGGGUGAGUAGGUGUAAUGUAGAAGAAGAUGAAGUCAGCGUGAAAUGGUGAGGCAGGCCAAUCAGCACCUGGCAGACCAAUGUGGCCCCAUCUACUUUUACUUGAUGAGAAGCCACUGGAGGAUUUGAGAACAGGACUGACAUGAUCUCACUCAUGCUUUAAUAGGAUCAGCUGUCAAUGUGGUGGAAAUAACCGCAGGAAGGCAGAGAGCAGCAGAGAGGCUUAUGAAGAGGUUCCUGCUGUAUCCAGGUGUGAAGUCCUGGUAGGAUAGACAGCGGGACAGCACGAGGUUUAAGUAAGAGGAGUACCUAGAGCAGAAGUUUAAUUUCAGGAGGCACUCGGCAUCAGGGCUGUUUAUGUGUAGUGUCAGCAGGGUCUUCACUUGCAUGACUGAGAGUGAAACUUUGUGGCCUACGCACCUCUUGCGCCUCACCUGGGUCUUGGACCUGUUGGACAGGGUAAGGACAGUUGAAUUCAGAAGGUGGCGCUGACAGGAUGUGCUGAUGGUGUGAAGUGCGGAUGAAAAAGAAGAGUCCAAGAUGACCCCAUGUGUUUUAAACUUGUAGAAAGAGAUUUUCUGUAGAAAGGCCAUUUUCUGACAGGAGUAACCUGUUAGGCGAACAGGUUUGAAGGAAGAAUACCAGAGCUCAGUUUUGGUCAUGUAACAUUUUAGAUAUUUAUUAAACAUCUAUGUGAAGAUACAUGAGUCUGGAGUUCCAGUGCAGGGUAUAAGGGUAAGCAAAAAUGACAGUUACCUGGCCUAGUGGAAUAUAUUAAUACAAUCCAGUGUGGGUAUGGACAAAUAGGGCAAUACACUACAACAUGUUACUUGCCAUGAAAUGAUACUCUGAGACUGCUAUAAAAAUUCAUAGAGAAAUAUCCCGCCUGGACUUGAGGGCCUGGCAAAUAGCGGCCACUUAAUAAAUACCAGUUGAGGGCCAGGCACAGUGGCUGAUACCUGUGAUCCCAGCAGUUUGGGAGGCCGAGGCUAGAGGAUCACUUGAGCUCAGGAGUUUGGGACUAGCCUGGGAAACAUAGGGAGACCCUGUCUCUACAAAAAAUAAAAAAGCAUGAUGGCAUGCAUCUGGGGUCCCAGAGGCUGCAGUGAGCCAAGAUCGCACCACCACACUCCAGCCUGGGCAACAGAGCGAGACCCUGUGUCAAAAAAUAGGUAAGUAAAUAAAUAAAUAAAUACUGGUUGAAUAUAUGGACACUACUUAUUUAUUUAUUAUCUGUUUAUUUACUGAUUUUACUCUGUUUUAUCAUUGAUUUAUUUUCCCAAGACCCAGGCAAGAGGCCAAAAAAACUGAGGCAGAGAAAAAUCCAGAAGAAGAGACAUUUAUGUUGACACUUUAAGGAAGGACAAGAUGAUAUGGUUUGUCUGUGCCCCAUCCAAAUCUCACCUUAAAUUGUAAUAAUCCCCACGUGUCAAGGGCAGGGCCAGGUGAAGAUAAAUGAAUCAUGGGGGCGGUUUCGCCCAUACUGUUCUCCUCCUGGUAGUGAAUAAGUCUCAUGAGAUCUGAUGGGUUUAUAAAGCAGAGUUCCCCUGAACAUGCUCUCUUGCCUGCCACCAUGUAAGAUGUCCCUUUGCUCUUCCUUUGUCUUCUGCCAUGAUUGUGAGGCUUCCUCAGCCAUGUGGAACUGUGAGUCUAUUAAACCUCUUUCCUUUAUAAAUUACUCAGUCUUGGGUAUGUCUUCAUUAACAGCAUGAGAACAGACUAAUACAUAAGAGCUAGCAAUGUAUUAGUGGGUUUGAAGGAGAUGGUAUAGAAAAGUGGGUUUGGAGGAGAUGGUACAGAAAAAAUUUUUAGAGGCAAAAGAUAAUAUGUGAGAAGGCCCAGGGAGAUUGUUGCCAGUAUUAUCAGAACCAUUGGCAAAUGAUGCAGACUCAAAAUCAGACAUCCUUUUCUUCCCAUGGAAGAGUAUUGUAACAUCAGCACUUGGGCAUUGGCAGCUUUUGUGAGGAUAGCACAACAGUAGUGCUCUGGUGUGUCCCUGGCAUAGCUCUGGCCCGGAUAUCAGCAGUGGGAAAAAACAUGGCUACAAGAGCCAAGGGGGACUAGAAUGGUAGAUGCCACAUGGUAGGGAGUAGAGAACCCCCUUGUUCUUGCAAGAUUCUAGAAUUUGUGGGGAGAAAUUGAGGGAUCUGAAGCUGGAGCUUUUCAAGAGCAAGUUUAACAGCAAAACCAGAAAAAGAAAUAGAAAACGGAAUUGUAGAAACAUAAGUUAUAGAUAAAAAAUAAAUUGAUAGUACUUGUGUAUUUUUUCAAAAAGCUUUCUUUCGAAUUGAUUGUUUUCUUUACUCCAAACAGGAACAUUUUAAGUUAGAGAGGGCAAGUGAAUGAAGAGGGUCACAGAGUUAAUGAAUUACUGAAUACUAUAGGGACAAUUAAUGGCAAAUGGGGGGAUUUGAACACAGGACCCUUACUACACAGUUUAUGGCUUCAUUUUGUUUGGUUUUUGAGAUGAGGUGUCACUCUGUCACCCAGCCUGGAGUGCAGUGGCACAAUCAUGGUUCACUGCAGCCUCAACUUCCCAGGCUCAAGCCAUCUUCCCACCUCAGCCUCCGGAGUAGCACAUGGCCACCACACCGAUUUUUUUUUCUUUUUUUUUUUUUUUUUGUAGAGACAGAGUCUCAGUAUGUUGCCUAGGCUGGGCUCAAACAAUCCUCACACCUCAGCCUCCCAAAGUGCUAGGAUUACAGACAUGAGCCACUGCGCCUAGCCCAGCUUAUGUUCUUUUAGACCAAUCCUUGAAAUACAUAAAGGCAGAUAGGAGAAGAGAGGGGAAGAGGAGAAAAGAGCAAUGGAUACAACUUGUUUGAAGAAAGGACAGUUUGCAUCUCCCAGAACAGUAAUAUAACAAAGCCAUAUGUAGACAUGCAUUUUGAUAAUAAAUUUAUUUUCAUGCAGUCCAAAAUAAACUUCAGUAUAUUU
rnacentral:lncRNA from 10 species